rnacentral:rRNA from 1 species
AGUCUGAUGUGAAAGCCCCCGGCUCAACCGGGGAGGGUCAUUGGAAACUGGGGAACUUGAGUGCAGAAGAGGAGAGUGGAAUUCCACGUGUAGCGGUGAAAUGCGUAGAGAUGUGGAGGAACACCAGUGGCGAAGGCGACUCUCUGGUCUGUAACUGACGCUGAGGCGCGAAAGCGUGGGGAGCGAACAGGAUUAGAUACCCUGGUAGUCCACGCCGUAAACGAUGAGUGCUAAGUGUUAGAGGGUUUCCGCCCUUUAGUGCUGCAGCAAACGCAUUAAGCACUCCGCCUGGGGAGUACGGUCGCAAGACUGAAACUCAAAGGAAUUGACGGGGGCCCGCACAAGCGGUGGAGCAUGUGGUUUAAUUCGAAGCAACGCGAAGAACCUUACCAGGUCUUGACAUCCUCUGACAACCCUAGAGAUAGGGCUUCCCCUUCGGGGGCAGAGUGACAGGUGGUGCAUGGUUGUCGUCAGCUCGUGUCGUGAGAUGUUGGGUUAAGUCCCGCAACGAGCGCAACCCUUGAUCUUAGUUGCCAGCAUUCAGUUGGGCACUCUAAGGUGACUGCCGGUGACAAACCGGAGGAAGGUGGGGAUGACGUCAAAUCAUCAUGCCCCUUAUGACCUGGGCUACACACGUGCUACAAUGGGCAGAACAAAGGGCAGCGAAGCCGCGAGGCUAAGCCAAUCCCACAAAUCUGUUCUCAGUUCGGAUCGCAGUCUGCAACUCGACUGCGUGAAGCUGGAAUCGCUAGUAAUCGCGGAUCACAUGCCCGGGU